UCAGUGAGGGGGCACCUGUGGGACAGAGGGGACAAUGUCCAGUGAGGGGUCACUUGGGGGGACAGAGGUCACAGUGGUCAGUGGGGACAGGAGGGGUCAGGACAGGAGGGACAAAGUUUGGGAGCAAGAAAGGAAAGUUUGGGCAAACUUUGGCAGGAAAAGUUUUGGGGAAGAAAGGAAAAUUUAGGGAAAGGAAGAGAAAUUUGGGGGGAAGAGGAAAAAUUUGGGGAAGGGAAAAGUUCAGGAGAGGAAACUCCUGAGAAAAAGAAGGAGAAUUCCUGAAAAAGGAAGGAAAACUGGAAAGGCCAAGCCAUGCCCAGCUUCACUUUUGAUUUUGAACCCCAAAAUCCCAAAACCGCCCCAAAAUUCCCCAAAUCCUGCAAAUUCCAGGUGCUCACCAUGCCGGGCACAGGGCUGGGGUCCCUCUGGAUUUGGGGGGUCCCCCUUGUCCCCAAUUCCUGCCAUUUCCGUGCUGGCCCCACCUGGACAAGACGGAGCAGUUUUGGGGUUAAAAAGGACAAAUUUGGGGUCACUGAGGUGAAACCCCCCCAAAAAUCCCCCAAACCCACCUGGGGGCAGCGGGGGGAGCUCGAAGCUCAUCUCUUCCUCCUCCUCCUCCUCCUCUUCCUCCUCCACGGCCCUCAGGGGGUCCCGCUCCUCAAUGCCACAAAAUUCCCAAUUCCUCUUUUCCUCCAAAAUUCCACUUUGGGGCUUCCCCCUCUCCUUCUUCUCCCGGGGACCCCCAGCCCGGCGGGGACCCCUGUUCUCCUUCUUCUCCAGAGGUUUUUUGGCUUUUCCCUUCUCCUUCUUUUCCACAUUUUCCGUUUUGGAGUUUCCCCUUUUUCCCGCAUUUUCCAUUUGGGGAUUUUCCAUUUUUUCCGUUUUGGGAUUUUCCAUUUUUUCCACAUUUUCCAUUUUUUCCACAUUUUCCAUUUUGGGAUUUCUCGC
rnacentral:lncRNA from 1 species